AUUGUUGAUGAUGAAGAACUUAUCUCGUACAUUCUGGCAGGACUUGAUGAAGAGUAUAACUCGGUGGUCUCUGUUGUGGUGGCCCCUGUUGAGUAGGUCACCGUAGCUAAAGCCACCUCCUAGAUUCUCAGCUUUGACG
rfam:Zea mays cultivar B73 chromosome 9, whole genome shotgun sequence.